UUUAGUUUAAUGGCCGCGGUAUUUUGACUGUGCAAAGGUAGCAUAAUCAUUAGUUUUUUAAUUGAAAACUUGUAUGAAUGGUUUGACAUAAAAGGAGCUGUCUCUAUAGUAAAAGUUGAAUUUAACUUUUGAGUGAAAAGGCUUAAAUAGUUUAAAGGGACGAUAAGACCCUAUAAAGCAUUUUAUUGGGGUGAUAUAGGUAUAAUUGAUAACUGCUUAUUUUUAUAACAGUGGAUUGUUGAAUUGAUCUUUUUUAAAAAUUUUAAGGUUAAGUUACUUUAGGGAUAACAGCGUAAUUUCUUUUGAGAGUUCUUAUUAAAAGAGAAGUUUGCGACCUCGAUGUUGAAUUAAAAUUUCUAUAUAAUGCAGAAGUUAUAUAAGUAGGUCUGUUCGACCUUUAAAAUUUU
rnacentral:rRNA from 1 species